UGGGGAAUUUUGCGCAAUGGGCGAAAGCCUGACGCAGCGACGCCGCGUGUGCGAUGAAGGCCCUUGGGUCGUAAAGCACUGUCAACUGGGACGAAAACAUCGCUGUGAAUAGCGGCGAUGGUUGACGGUACCAGUAAAGGAAGCACCGGCUAACUCUGUGCCAGCAGCCGCGGUAAUACAGAGGGUGCAAACGUUGUUCGGAAUUACUGGGCGUAAAGCGCGUGUAGGCGGUUCGUUAAGUCGACUGUGAAAGCCCAUGGCUCAACCAUGGAAGUGCAGUCGAUACUGGCAGACUGGAGUCCCGGAGAGGGUGGUGGAAUUCCCAGUGUAGAGGUGAAAUUCGUAGAUAUUGGGAGGAACACCGGUGGCGAAGGCGACCACCUGGACGGGUACUGACGCUGAGACGCGAAAGCGUGGGGAGCAAACAGGAUUAGAUACCCCCGUAGUCC
rnacentral:rRNA from 1 species